rnacentral:sRNA from 1 species
UCUUUAAGAAAGAUGAAUUUAAUCUGGUGUAAGUUUCGCCGCCUUUAAAAAAUAUAGAGUUUUUGAGCCUGAACUUUCAGAUAUUUU